UCAAGUUAUUAAGGGUGCAGGGCGGAUGCCUUGGCACUAGGAGCCGAUGAAGGACCGUGAUAAGCUGCGAUAAGCUUCGGGGAGUUGCACGUAAACUUUGAUCCGAAGAUUUCCGAAUGAGGAAACUCACUUAGAGUAAUGUCUAAGUAUCAUUAAGUGAAUACAUAGCUUAAUGAGGGGAACUCAGGGAACUGAAACAUCUAAGUACCUGAAGGAAGAGAAAGAAAUUCGAUUCCGUAAGUAGCGGCGAGCGAACGCGGAUUAGCCCAAACCAAUAAAGUUUUCUUUAUUGGGGUUGCGGACAUAUCAUAACGAAGAGGUAUCGUAAUUGAAGAGGUUUGGAAAGACCCACCACAGAAGGUAAUAGUCCUGUAUGUUAAACGAGAAGACUUCAGAUAUGAUCCAGAGUACCACGGGACACGUGAAACCCUGUGGGAAGCAGGAGGGACCACCCUCCAAGGCUAAAUACUACCUAGUGACCGAUAGCGUAUAGUACCGUGAGGGAAAGGUGAAAAGAACCCCGGGAGGGGAGUGAAAUAGAACCUGAAACCCUGCACUUACAAGCUGUGGAAGCACAUUUCUUGUGUGACCGCGUACUUUUUGUAGAACGGGCCAACGAGUUACGUUAAGUAGCAAGGUUAAGCACUUAAGGUGUGGAGCCGUAGCGAAAGCGAGUUUUAACUGAGCGUUCAGUUACUUGACGUAGACCCGAAACCGGGCGACCUACCCAUGAGCAGGAUGAAGCGAAAGUAAAAUUUCGUGGAGGUCCGAACCCACGAGCGUUGAAAAGCUCGGGGAUGACUUGUGGGUAGCGGUGAAAUUCCAAUCGAGCCCGGAGAUAGCUGGUUCUCCCCGAAAUAGCUUUAGGGCUAGCCUCAAGGUGAGAGAUACGGAGGUAGAGCACUGAAUGUCCUAGGGGUUAUUGCACCUACCGAAGACUAUCAAACUCCGAAUGCCGUCAUCUUAUACUUGGGAGUCAGACUGUGGGUGAUAAGAUUCAUAGUCGAAAGGGCAACAGCCCAGAUCGUCAGCUAAGGUCCCUAAAUGUAAGUUAAGUGGUAAAGGAUGUGGGAUUGCACAGACAACCAGGAUGUUGGCUUAGAAGCAGCCACUCAUUCAAAGAGUGCGUAAUAGCUCACUGGUCGAGUGAUCCUGCGCCGAAGAUUUCCGGGGCUAAAACUUACUACCGAAGCUACGGCAUCAGUAAUGAUGGGUAGGGGAGCUUCCCAUACGGGUUGAAGCAUGACCGUAAGGACAUGUGGACAGUAUGGGAGUGAGAAUGUUGGCAUGAGUAGCGAGAUGUGGGUGAGAAUCCCACAGGCCGUAAACCCAAGGUUUCCAGGGGAAGGUUCGUCCGCCCUGGGUUAGUCGGGACCUAAGCUGAGGCCGAAAGGCGUAGGUGAUGGACAACAGGUUGAUAUUCCUGUACUACCGAUAACCGUUUGAGAGAAGGGAUGACACAGUAGGAUAAGCUAAGCACACUGUUGGUUAUGUGUGCCCAAGCAUUGAGGCAGUCAAAGUAGGCAAAUCCGCUUUGAUAAUGCUGGGAUGUGAUGGGGAGCGAAAUUUAGUAGCGAAGUAGCUGAUUUCACACUGUCAAGAAAAGUCUCUAUCGAGGUUAAAGGUACCCGUACCGCAAACCGACACAGGUGGGUGAGGAGAGUAUCCUAAGGCCAGCGAGAGAACUGUUGUUAAGGAACUCGGCAAAAUGACCCCGUAACUUAGGGAUAAGGGGUGCCACCAUCAGGUGGCCGCAGAGAAUAGGCCCAAGCUACUGUUUACCAAAAACAUAGGUUUCUGCUAAGUCGCAAGACGAUGUAUAGGAGCUGACGCCUGCCCGGUGCUGGAAGGUUAAGGGGAUCUGUUAGAGCAAUCGAAGCAGUGAACUUAAGCCCCAGUAAACGGCGGCCGUAACUAUAACGGUCCUAAGGUAGCGAAAUUCCUUGUCGGGUAAGUUCCGACCCGCACGAAAGGCGUAACGAUUUGGGCACUUUCUCAACAACAGACUCGGUGAAAUUGUAAUUCCGGUGAAGAUGCCGGAUACCUGCGACAGGACGGAAAGACCCCAUGGAGCUUUACUGUAGCUUGACAUUGGGUCUUGGUACUACAUGUACAGGAUAGGUGGGAGGCUUUGAAACCAGGACGCCAGUUUUGGCGGAGCCAUCCUUGGGAUACCACCCUUGUAGUACUGGGACUCUAACCAUAGGCCAUGAAUCUGGUCUUGGGACACUGUCAGGUGGGCAGUUUGACUGGGGCGGUCGCCUCCCAAAAGGUAACGGAGGCGCUCAAAGGUUCUCUCAGUACGGUCGGAAAUCGUACGUAGAGUGUAAAGGCAAAAGAGAGCUUGAUUGCAAGACAUACAGGUCGAGCAAGGAUGAAAAUCGGACUUAGUGAUCCGGUGGUUCUGCGUGGAAGGGCCAUCGCUCAACGGAUAAAAGCUACCCUGGGGAUAACAGGCUUAUCUCCCCCAAGAGUCCACAUCGACGGGGAGGUUUGGCACCUCGAUGUCGGCUCAUCACAUCCUGGGGCUGUAGUAGGUCCCAAGGGUUGGGCUGUUCGCCCAUUAAAGUGGUACGCGAGCUGGGUUCAGAACGUCGUGAGACAGUUCGGUCCCUAUCCGUCGCAGGCGUAGGAAAUUUGAGAAGACCUGUCCUUAGUACGAGAGGACCGGGAUGGACGUACCUCUGGUGUACCAGUUGUUCUGCCAAGGGCAUGGCUGGGUAGCUAUGUACGGAAUGGAUAAGCGCUGAAAGCAUCUAAGCGCGAAGCCAACUUCAAGAUAAGAUUUCCCACCGCAAGGGUAAGACCCCAGAAAGACUAUCUGGUUGAUAGGUCGAAGGUGUAAGUGCAGCAAUGUAUUUAGCUUAUCGAUACUAAUAGGUCGAGGACUUGACCAA
rnacentral:rRNA from 1 species